UUCUUUUCUAGUCUUUCUUAUCUUCUGUCUCUCCAUUUCUAAGAGAUGGUUCUGUGUGAGUGGGUGGGAAAAAGAAAGAGAAGGGGGGUGGCACCAGCCUUAGAGGACCCAGCAUUGAUAAAUGGCAGCAAAAUUGAAGAAGAAACUAUUUCGAUUUAUUGAACGCACUUCCGUCCUAGCGAUUUCGUUUCCACACUUCUGCCUUCCCCCGGUAUCCAACAAGCUCUAGGUCAACGGUGACCGGCAGGUAGUCCCUGUCACCAGGCCAUACCCAACCUGUGGUCGUGGGGGCCCUUUAAAACAGUUUUUGAAGCACAGAAAUAAUAAUAGUAAUAGUCAAAACGAGCAGCAUUUCCAUUCCGCAUCAAUUUCCUCCUGAGUUUGCAGGCUGGCUCUGCGAAGCCAGAGCAACUCGAGCCGCGCGUCGGUUAGGCUGGGCCCUUUUUUCGUUGCACUGGAACGCCUUGACCCGGGAGCGGCCGCCCUCCCCAGUGGCCUCGGGCUGGGGCCUGGGCCGUGGCAGCUGCUGGGAAGCUUUGCUGAGCCGGCACCUACUAUCUACUCCCUACCCAGCCGCAGUCCUUUUAGCCGGUCUUUCAGGCCACCUUACCUUCCUUGAAGUUUUCUAAUGCAGGAAUUUUCGGCCCAAUUUAGAAGUCUACAGAAACUCAGAGGGUCAGGUCAUUAGGAAUGUUAACGUAGCAACCAAGAAUUAUAAACAUGAUCUAAAAGUCUCUUCCAAUUCAUUUCUUCAAGUAUUUAUUUGAGUUAAGUGAUGAAAAGUGACAGUUGUGAAAUAGACAGCUUUUAAAAGUAAUGAAGUCAGAUGAGGCUUUAACCUGUCGAUUGCUAUAAAUCAACUUUGAAAAAGACGAAUGAAGAAUAUUAUUUAGGCGCCUAACAGCCAACAUUUGCUGUGCGGGUGGCAGGUCCCAGAGUCGGCCUGUAGGAGCUGCAGGCUGGGGGUACACCCAGAGGUCCUGUGCCUCGAGUGUGGCCCUGGGGCGGUGGAGUCCCCUGAGACCCGGGGUCUGAAGUCACAUUUUGUUGAGGGCGGGUCUCCAUUUCCACCAAGACUUUGAUCAUGGAUUUGGGCCACCCGAGUAUGUCUGGGCAGGUAACCCAGCCUUUAGCACAGUUGGAAAUUCAGGUACUCAAUGCCACGAUGUAGACUGGCAUUCAGCCUGGAUCCCCAGCUGGCUGAGGGUGUCCACGUCCUCCAGCCCAGCGGCUUGGAAGGGCCAGGGCCUGAAUGACACCCUGAUCUUAUUAACUUUUGGGAAAUGGUGGUGGCAGAGGUGGGGGAAGGGGAAGGGAGGAAGAUGAGCAGGAAAUCAUAUUUCCCUGAGGCUCUGGGGGUGGGGAGGAGGAGUGGGGGCUUUGGGUUAUGGGAGGAAACUCCAGGAAGGAGGGGGACUGGGACAGGCAUUUGGAGGUCUUCUGAUGGGAGAAGGAUCUCAAUUCUGCACAGAGUCCAGACGUUUUCUGGAGGGUAAACUGGUGGGGUGUUUUAAAAUAAAUUUUACACACUUUCCUGUGGAUCUCAUUUCCCCUCAAUUUCAAUUUUCGUCAUAGCAGGACUUGAGGCAUGGCCCUCUUCCCAGUGACUUCAACCCCAUGUCCCUAUCCCAUCCCAAGUCUGAACCGGAGAACAUGCCCAGGGUAUCUGGCCUUCUGGGUCGGCUACUUCUCUCUUUCCUCUAACGCUUCCAGAGGUGGGGAGGGUACAGACGAUUCCCCUCUCCUUUGCCGCCUACCGUCGUUACUUCUUAAACAAGCUGGUCAUCCAGUGUCCUCCCUAGACUCCUGGAGCACGAGCAACAGGUGCUGGUGCAUUUCCUCCCUUGAUUCUUCCACCCGUUUCUCUCUCCAUCCUUCUGUCUGGGUCAGCUGGGAGGGCCGGGGGCACCCCUGGUGCUCCUCCCGUUUGAAGGCGGAGAGCAAGCCCGGGCGGGCGAGAAGGCGGUGCCCGCGUCUUUGGGCCAAGUGCCUGGCUGGCUGGCUCUAGGGACGGUCUGUGACCCCGCAUUCGCCUGUCUCAAAAUUCCCAGCUCUUGGCUGGAGGCUGCAACACCGAGGACCCUCUGAGGAUGUGAGACCCAGAAGAAAGUGGAGGUGGGGGGAGGGAGAGUGAAGUGGACCACGCCCUCCCCUGGGACAGACCCUAGCUUCUGGGGGGCUAACUGGGCUGCUGGCUCCAUUCGGCCCCAUCCCGGCCUGCGACGCCUCCUCCCGGCCUGGGAGCUUGGUGCGGACCUCGGGCAACAUCCCCGCCCCACUUCAGGUCCGAUUUCCCUUUUUCUGGAGACCCGAACGCGGACUGGGAGGCUCUCGCCCUAUCUGUGCCCAACUUGCCCUCCGGGUCAGCUGGGGCUGGAACCUGCGCGCCCGAGACUCCGCAGCGGGCUGCGCGGCCACCGCCCCCGCCCGCCCGGCUGGCGCCAAGGUGCCCGGUGUCCCAGGCUGGGGCGCCAAGGGCGCGGGGGCCUCCUGGACCCGCCUGGGUGGAAGGUGGGGAGGAGGGACUGCAACUUCCAGCUUCCGGCGGGGCGGGGGAAAACUCGGCGCGGGAGGCCGGUGGAAACUCCUCCUCCACUCCGCCCCGAGGCAGCCUGGACUCGGCUAGCAGCGCGUCUCCGCCCGCCCGAGCGUUUCCAUAAAUCAGGCCGCUGGCAGGCUGCUAAUUAGCUCAGGCCGAAAAGAAUAGGAAGAGGGAGAGUCCAGUAGUGCUCGGUGGGAUGGGGGGUUGGGAGCGCAGUAGGUGGGAGAUCAGAAUUUCCCCAGGACCCGCGGGCGACUGCCUAGGGCACCUCAGCAGCCCCCCGCCGAGGCCACUGCAGAUCGCUUUCCCCCAGCCGGGGCCUCCAGCCUGGGGCCUCCUGAUCACACGCCUUCCGCACUGCGCGCACCCGGGUGUUGGACCCGGCCCGCCCACCCACGCCGAGGCCCCUUCUCGCACUUGCUGGCAAGCCCGGCGUUAAUUAACUCUCCCCUCGCCCCCUGCAAUAUCGAAGACUUUCAAAACUCAUUCCCAAAUGUUUCCUUCUUAAGCCUGAAGCCUGCGUUUGGAACAACCGCCAGGAAAAGAGGGAGCUGGGUCUGGAAGGAGGCCCGCCGGGUUUCUGCGCCCCUCCCAGUCCUCUCCGCCCUCCGCCGGGAAGGGACUGUGCGAUGACAUCACCGCGGAGACCCGCGGCCUCCCCGCCCCCGGCCCCGGGACCCCGGAGCGGAGAUUGACAGGUGUCGCUCGCAAGGACAAUGCCUUCCAGAUUAGGCGGUGGAGUCCUCUCCGUCAAUGAAGGGACUAAGGUUUCGUGGACAAUAAUGUGGCAAUUGUUGAUGGUUUGUGACCCAUAAAAUGUGGAGGUGACUGUUCUGGCUUUGGUAUGUAAUUAUGCAAAACACUUUCCAUAAAGACUUGCCAUUCGAUCUAAUGGCAGUCCCUGCGGUCUAUUUCAAAAAGGGAGGGUCUAUGUACAGAGAGAGAAAAGUAACAUUUGUUUUAACACAGGUUUUAUGGGGGGGAUGGAUGAAUACAAACACAUCGCAACACCGCCCAAAGUAUUUUUUGGAGUCAAAUUAAAAUAAUUACGAAGGGGUUUAAUAAGUUAAUCAUAGCAACACGGCCCAGCCAAACACAGGGUGUGGGGGGGUUCGGGCUACAACCCACCACCUCCCGACCUGAAUCUGUACUUGAGGGUGGCGGUUCACCUCCUGCUUGUGCAGGGGUGGCUGGCGACACUGUCUCAACUCAGUCCACCUGGGUGCCCAGCUGGGAUCUGAAGCCCCAGUUGGGGGCUGAGAUUGGGGGAGGGGUGGGCCCUGUCAUCCACACCAAAAUCUUGUCUGCGGAAUUAUUUGGCAGAGGGCGUGUUAACAAAGCAGUCCUCUCCCGAGAAGCUCCCCUCUUUCCCUGGAGUGUCCCCAGUGCCCCAGAUUUAGGGAUUUCCCCAGAAAGGCAGGUAGGAGGGAGUGCCUGGCUGAUUUGGGUGAGAAGUCUAAAUCCUGAGCUCAGGCUUAGAGACUUAAGGACUGGGGCCGAGUCCCAGCUGCUGAAGCACCUUUGGAAGGCACCUGAGGAUUUGCUUUAUGUGCUGGUUUAAAAAAUAAUAAUGAUGAUGAUGAUGAUGAUGAUGAUGAUGUUGUAGUAAAGAGUUUAAAAGGGCCUGAGGAGGAAAGGUGGAAUAAGGGGGGUCAUCACUGGUCCCGACCCAGCUCUGGCUGCUAGAUAAAAGCAAGCCCUUCUCUGUCACCUCAAGGGCCCCCAUCCCGCCUGGAUCGGUGCCCCCCACACUCGGAACCACUCAGCAUCCGGCUCUGCAGCCUCGCCGCCCGGCACACAGUGGCACUGCAGCGUGAGCCCCGCAGAAGCCGGCGAGAGGGGAUUUUUCAAGGGGGAAAAAUGAUUAAAAGGGAGAAUCAUCUAAAUAUCAAAGUGACGCAUGGGAGACCUGGAAAAAAAUAUUUAAUCUAAUGAAAAGCAAAUAAAGAAGGAGGCACUUAGGCUGGGAAAUUAAAUAUUAUGUUUAAGAUGGUGCUUUUGUGCGGGCUUGAAGAUUUCCGAUUCAUGUACACAUAAUAAACACUCAGGUUUGUCAUCUGGAGGUGCAAAUCUGAAAGAUAUUCCAACAAAUGAAGUGCUGGCAGAGAGAGGAAUAAAGAGAUCGGCGCCUGUCAGGGGUCAGGCAGCCUGAGAUUGCUUCUAGAGAUCUUUUGAAAAUUUCACACGAUUGAAGGCUUAGGGGCUUCACUGCGCUCGCAUUUCAAACUCAGAUCAGUGGGAUCACAAUCAAAAAUAGAGGUCUGGAAAAUUUUGAUGCAAAGAUGGCCACGGGCUGUAGGGUUUCUCUCACCAGCUCUCUCUCUCUCUCUCUCUUUUUCUUUCCAAGACAGAUACUCCGACAUGGUUGUGAUCCUUUGGAUGACAGAGUUGUCAGAAAAGAAAGAGAAAAUUGCAUCUUGUCUCAUAACUUCCUUUUAGUCAAAAGGAAUUUAGGGUCUUCUUUCCAAUAAAAUGGGGGGGGGGGUUAAUGAUUCUUUUCUGGCUAGUAUAGGACCACAGCUCAAGAGUUCGGGAUUUCACAAUUAAUGAUUGACUCCUGGACAUUUAGGUUUGGCUGUCCUCUUCAUUUUUCUGGCUUAUUAAGAGGAUUUCCCAUUUAGUGUGUGUCCCAGCAUUACACUGAAAUUUCUUAACCACUGUCCAUUGUAGGCAAGAUCAGGUGUAUAGAUCUGAGCAUAUACUUACAUAUCUGUACGCACACACAACGCUAAUCUCUAAACCUGGAGACAGGCCUGGCUGCCUUCUUAUUUUGUGGGAGUUAAUAUUUUGCCCACCUCCCAAGAUGUCAGCACUUUCUGGUUCAAACGGGACACAGAAAAAUCAAUUGUCCCUGUGAUUGAUCCACCAGGGGAAAGAAAAUAAAAGGAACGGGGGUGGGGGGAGCUUCUAUGAGAAAAGAUCAAACUAAGGAACUCUGAAAUGGGAGCAAGCUUAGUAGAGGCAAAAAACUGAUUAGACCGCAAGAGCUGGAGACCACUUUCCCAACAACCAGAAGCAAUAGGAAUCACCUCAAAUUAGUUUCUACUGGUUUAGCGAACUUUAGGAAGAGUAAAAUGUGGACUAAUUUAUCAUCGCUUUGCCAAUUUUAAUUUUUAGCUGGCCGUCUUAGACAAGCUAGAGGUAUUCGGGGGCAAUAAUCUGAAUCAUAGUUGGGUUUCACUAACUCUGAGACAAAGAUGAGCAAAAGUAGGAUCUCAAGAACUUCCCUUAAGUGUAUAUUAGGAGAUCUCUCCUGGGGAGUGACCCCACAGUGGAGAAGAAGCCAACAGAAAGAAGGUCUCCUGUUUCCUGGGUUAUGGACUCAAACUGUUAAUAACCUGGGUCCUUUAACAGGUGGGCAGGAACGGAAAAGUUUAAGAGUUGCACUGACUGGAUUUACAAGUUCAAAUCCUUGGCUCCUCCAGUGUUUGUCCUUUGGGCAUGGGCUGCGAAUGCCCCAGAAUUGAGCGCCCCAGGUCGCUGGGCAUUGGGACAGGCCCCAGCUGCUGCAACUCUGAAGGGAGAACUCGGCCAUGGGUGCCCUGGGUUUGGUGCUCCUGGAAGGAAGGGGGAGCACAGUGGAGAAUGUGUGCCUUUCAAGUCCCAUAUUUAGAGCUUUUGUAGAUGCAAGUAGCCAAUUCCAGCCGCAGAACUGCCCGCCCUGGGACUUUGGAAAGGGCGGCCCUCUGUGUGCAGGGCGGCCUCUGCCCUCAAAAUAUGCUUCCCUAUCCCUCCUCCUUCCUCAGAACCACAGUACGGACAUAGAGAGCAGGUUCCAAGUAUAACUUUUAGAAACUCGAGCAGAGAUGCAAACGAAGGGGAGCUUUCUCUUUACAGAAGGGCCGCCCACAGGGCCCUCGAUCUCGCUCUUUCUCGGUUUCCCAUCACGGACCAAGCCCCCCAGCUGGGCUUUAAAAAGCGAGGUUUUGUGCGGUGAAUAUUCUACCGGGGCCUUUCCUGGCACCCCGGGAAGCGCUUGGAGUGAAAAGGGGCCGGCGGGAUAACCGAAGGAAGCGGGGGAGAGCCAGGAAGGGGUCCCACGCUGAAGUGGGGGGUGGUACCCUGCCUCCUCCCGGCAGGAGCCGCGCCCGGGCCCAGCGGGGAGGCGGCGUACGCCCGGCCAGGGUUCCGCUGACACCCACGCCCCCGCGGGCGUGCCGAGUGCCCGGGAUUUCCUCUCAACCAGGCCGGAGAAGGAUUCCAGGCUCCUCGGGUGGAAUGCGGGAGGUCUUGUGUGUGUGUGGGGGUAAUCCUCCCUGCAGAAUGCAGAGCUGGCAGGAGCCUCGGUUAAAAAAAAAAGAAAAAGAAAGAAAGAAAGAAA